UGCGCCGGGCUCACAGAGCAAACCACGUGUCGAUGCAUGUGCUGGCUCAUUACGUCACGUGAUUGACACGUGAACUGCGUUGACACAGUCCAGGCUUCUAAUUGACACACCGGCUGCGUUGACACAGUCCAGGCUGCUAAUUGACACAUCGACUGUGUUGACACAGUCCAGGCUGCUAAUUGACACAUCGGCUGCGUUGACACAGUCCAGGCUGCUAAUUGACACGUGAACUGCACCGGUGCAGUUUAGACUGCAUCGGCUGCUUGGCACAGUACAGGCUGCGCCACUUAGUCCAGGGGGCGUCGACUCAGUGCAGAGGGCGUUGACGCAGCAAAAGCCCGCCGCACAGUGUAUUUAAGGAAGUGGGUUUGGCGACACAAUGCCACUUGCCGAAACAAGCCAGACCUCACUCACGCUCGCUUGUCGAAGUUCGUGUCAGUGCAGACUUCGUGUUCGUGCCUUGCCUUCCUUGCCGAUUAUGGAGCAGAGACGCAAAUCAUCCGCCGUGUGGGACCAUUUUGAUGUCCCGGAGAAUAAGGUGAAAUGUCGAAUUUGCCGGGUCGAAUUGUCAUACACCAACAGAAGCACCUCCACCAUGCUGAGGCAUUAUCGGGCCAAGCAUGAGAAUGAAGUUCGCGAUACACCCAGUAUUACGCCAGGUUCCAGGAAGCAGCUGUACUGGAAGGACCAACACACUUCUUUCCCAAACCUCUCCCACCUCGCAAAGGAGUUCCUUUGUACACCAGCCUCAUCCGUCCCUUGUGAGCGUGUGUUCUCCACAGCAGGAGAAAUUGCUUGUAAAUGACGCAACAG